AUAAAUGUUAAUGAGAACAUUAAUAAUAACGACAAUGAAGUUGACUCAGAUGACGAAUCUGAAACUGGGCCCAUCCGCCUUUAUGGCUAUGGCUGGGUGGAAAGUAACGAAACAGUUAUUAUGGUUAUAAGUGGCCACCUCAGGAUCUUUUACAAACUAUAUUCGAUAUAAAAGUCGAAUUUUCCGUCAGUAAGGUGUUCAUUCUUCUCGAGAUGUUUUCAUCGCCGAUCUCCAUGGCUCCAAUGUCGGCAAAACCAGUCCCUGGUAUAUUCUUUCUUCAGGUGCCUGUUGUAAUUAUCAUAUAUCAUCUUCGUCAAGAUAUUCUUCAUCGAUUCUCUUCAGUUUUGAUCGCGCCAAAACGGCUUACAUUGACGUAGAUCGUGCUGAACUAAGGAAUGAUGAAGAUGCAUAUCCAGCGGCGGCUGCUGGCGAUUUUAUCUAUAAUUCUCAAAUUUGCCUGGCGUGUUCAGACGAGGAAUCACCACCGGACGUCGUCUACAACCCUUGUCGGCACUGCAUCUUCUGCCAAGCAUGUCCAAAGACAGUACGUGCAAACUCUGCUUGGAGAUGGGCAAAUUUUAACUUGUAGUUACUGCCGACAAGAGGUUGUCUCAGUUGACUUGAUUAUUUAAAAAAAUAUUAAUCCUCAUUAAAUUUUUAUUUAAUAUUACUUUUAAACAAAUUUAAAAUAUAAUUA